rnacentral:lncRNA from 1 species
GAGCUCUGGACACAGCUGUCCGCGCUGACGAAGUGGGAAGCGAGGAGGACCUGUAUGAUGACCUGCACAGCUCCAGCCACCACUACAGCCACCCUGGAGGGGGUGGGGAGCAGCUGGCUAUCAAUGAGGAGUUCAGAAGUAUUGCUGUUGCUAUGACAACUGCGUGCAAGUUGCUGUGUUUUUGCUAUUCCUACUGAAGCAGAAGAAAUCCGUGAGAAUCCUCAUCCAGGCAAAACUGGUUCCCAUCUGAGUUCUCCCUUUGCAUUCCCAAUGAGAGAGGAAUCGUGAUGCUUUAACGCCCCUCUCUUUCUCACUCACCCUCCUACUUUCUCAGCCUCU